AGCAUUAUAGUGAACAUGUGAGGCAGAGAUAAACAGACAGACGCAGACAGACAGAUUGAUUUACAACACUUAGUAACAUGUACUUGUUAUAAGCAAUUCUAAGUGACCAUUACUUUCCCGUUCAUUCCCAUUCAUUGAAGCAUUUCAGUGUUGAGACGCAAAGGUAGUGUAAGUGUUGAGGCAGCGGUGGUAGUGGCCCCUUCACCUCGCAGCGAGGCAGGAAGGGGAGGCGAGGGACACCAGCAGUGACUGGCCUGAAGGCGCCUUGCGUCCCGCCUCCUCUGUGCGACCCUCUCCCUUGAUUGCCUUCAUGCAUCAAUCGCAGCAUGACUUGUGCUCCUCCUCUUCAGUCUCACUUAACUACCACCUUCAUAUUCUAGACACCGCUGAAUGUUGGCAAGCUUUACAUUUAUUAUUUUUGCUUCUUUUUAUUUUCUUAUUUGAUCUUGUUAUAUAUGUAAUGGUGUUUGUUCGUUUUAUUUUGUUGCAGCUGUUGUGCAUAUUUAACAUUCUCAGCGUUUGAAGUGUGUUCUGUUUUCAGUGUUGUUUUCCAUGUAUCCAUGUGUUCUUGCUUGGAGGAAUUUGACACGUUUUAUUUAUGACAUUUCGUGUUUUUGUUCAGUAUUUAUUCUUUCCUCUUUUGUUCAUGUGUAUGUUGUUAACUCAUGCAGUAAAGGAUUUCUGGUGGUUCUGUUUAUGAUGCUUCAUUUUUAGCUCUUUUUAGAAUAGUGAAGCUGCAUCACUUUUUUAUGUGGAUGUUUUGAUAUUUUCAGGAAAGGAUGGCAGGUGGUGCCGCGGUGAACACUCCCAACACAUGCAGGAGGAAAAGCCAAGAAGAAAUAUAAUACAGACAAGAGACAAUGCAUGAAGACAGAUGAGGGAUCUCCAAACAAGAAGAUGGAUAAUGUGAACACAGCUACUGUGCUCACCAUCAUUUCUCAAGAGUUAGACUCUUCAGAAUUCUGGGAACUGACAGACCAGGAAGCUAUGUUCCAAGUACUGUGGUACUGCAUGUCCCUCCCACAAUCAGGCCACAAACUCGCAACACCAGUUUGUGAUCACCAUCUCUCAAGCAUCUGUCACAUCCUCUGCCUCUUGAUCAGCUGAGACACCAUCUGGAUCACAAUCAAUUGAGAUACCUUUUGCCUCUGGCAUUGACAGGCACCAAAAUUUUAAAUCCCUGGCUUUGAGAUGUCCUAUCUAAAGGAUAUUUUGCUUGUCAUUUCAGAGCAAGUGCUAUGAAGACACAAUGGAGUUGGAUGAACAGGAACAUGAGAUGGAUUUAGGAAAUUUAAAAUGAACAAGAACGCCUACUAAUUGAAAAGAUACAGGAUGCGAAAGUAGAAUUGCUGUGUUUUAACUGGAAAAAUCCAGAUAGAACUAGAUUUUCUGCAUCCACACUAUUGAUUCAGGAUUUUCAGUUUACACUUAGGCUUCAAAGAAUGCAGAUUCCAAACAGAACAAAUGGUUAUGAGUUGCCUGAGGAGUGCAGAAGGAAGGUGAUAGUUUACUCCAUCUGAACUGGGAUGACCAACAAUGUCAUCAUAGUUGAAGUUGCCACUGAGGACAGUCCAGAGAAUUAGGAAGCUGUUAGUAGAUCCUGACCUUGAUGUGGAGGUCAUGACUGCCAGAGACAUGCAAUUGAGGAGUGAAGAGUGGCAAUUUAAUUUUGUAUGUGCAGCAACUCAAUGA